rnacentral:rRNA from 1 species
UAGGGAAUCUUCCGCAAUGGACGAAAGUCUGACGGAGCGACGCCGCGUGAGCGAAGAAGGUCUUCGGAUCGUAAAGCUCUGUUGUUAGGGAAGAAGAAGUGCCGUUCGAACAGGGCGGCACGGUGACGGUACCUAACGAGAAAGCCCCGGCUAACUACGUGCCAGCAGCCGCGGUAAUACGUAGGGGGCGAGCGUUGUCCGGAAUUAUCGGGCGUAAAGCGCGCGCAGGCGGUCCCUUAAGUCUGAUGUGAAAGCCCACGGCUUAACCGUGGAGGGUCAUUGGAAACUGGGGGACUUGAGUGCAGAAGAGGAGAGCGGAAUUCCACGUGUAGCGGUGAAAUGCGUGGAGAUGUGGAGGAACACCAGUGGCGAAGGCGGCUCUCUGGUCUGUAACUGACGCUGAGGCGCGAAAGCGUGGGGAGCAAACAGG